rnacentral:rRNA from 1 species
CCUACGGGAGGCAGCAGUGGGGAAUAUUGGGCAAUGGUCGCAAGUCUGACCCAGCAACGCCGCGUGAAGGAGGAAGGUAUUCGGAUUGUAAAGUUCUUUUCUCAGGGAAGAAGAAAGUGACGGUACCUUAGGAAUAAGCCUCGGCUAACUACGUGCCAGCAGCCGCGGUAAGACGUAGGUGGCGAGCGUUCUCCGGAAUGAAUGGGUGUAAAGGGCGCGUAGGUGGUAUGGCAAGUUAGAUGUGUAACCCAAGGGCUCAACCUGUGGACUACAUGUGAAACUGUUGGUCUUGAGUACUGGAGAGGCAGACGGAAUUCCUAGUGUAGCGGUGGAAUGCGUAGAUAUUAGGAGGAACACGAGUGGCGAAGGCGGGUUGCUGGACAGUAACUGACGCUGAGGCACGAAAGCGUGGGGAGCAAACAGGAUUAGAUACCCGUGUAGUC